GGGGACCCGCACAAGCAGCGGAGCGUGUGGUUUAAUUCGUUGCUACACGAAGAACCUUACCUGGGUUUGACAUAUAAGUUGUAGGGAACUGAAAAGGGACCGACCCUUCGGGGAGCCUAUACAGGUGUUGCAUGGCUGUCGUCAGCUCGUGUCGUGAGAUGUUCGGUUAAGUCCGCUAACGAGCGCAACCCUCGUCGUAUGUUAUAUGUGUCAUACGAGACUGCCGGUAAAAAGCCGGAGGAAGGUGAGGAUGAUGUCAAGUCAGCAUGACCUUUAUAUCCAGGGCUACACACACGCUACAAUGGUCUGUACAAUGGGUAGCCAAGCCGCGAGGCGGAGCCAAUCCUGAAAGCAGGCCUCAGUUCAGAUUGCAGUCUGCAACUCGACUGCAUGAAGCCGGAGUUGCUAGUAACCGCAGGUCAGCAAUACUGCGGUGAAUACGUUCCCGGGUCUU
rnacentral:rRNA from 1 species